AUUGAACGCUGGCGGCAGGCCUAACACAUGCAAGUCGAACGGUAACAGGAAGAAGCUUGCUUCUUUGCUGACGAGUGGCGGACGGGUGAGUAAUGUCUGAGAAACUGCCUGAUGGAGGGGGAUAACUACUGGAAACGGUAGCUAAUACCGCAUAACGUCGCAAGACCAAAGAGGGGGACCUUCGGGCCUCUUGCCAUCGGAUGUGCCCAGAUGGGAUUAGCUAGUAGGUGGGGUAACGGCUCACCUAGGCGACGAUCCCUAGCUGGUCUGAGAGGAUGACCAGCCACACUGGAACUGAGACACGGUCCAGACUCCUACGGGAGGCAGCAGUGGGGAAUAUUGCACAAUGGGCGCAAGCCUGAUGCAGCCAUGCCGCGUGUAUGAAGAAGGCCUUCGGGUUGUAAAGUACUUUCAGCGGGGAGGAAGGGAGUAAAGUUAAUACCUUUGCUCAUUGACGUUACCCGCAGAAGAAGCACCGGCUAACUCCGUG
rnacentral:rRNA from 1 species